UUUUUGGGCUUGGUAAUUGGAAUGAGGGAGAGUUAAACGGACCAUCGGGUAUCCAUUGGAGGGCAAGUCUGGUGCCAGCAGCUGCGGUAAUACCAGCUCCAAUAGCGUAUAUUAAAGUUGUUGCAGUUAAAAAGCUCGUAGUUGGACUUGUGUGCGCUGUCCGCGGGUGGCCUGCGCCCAAAAGGGCGUUUCGGUUCGGCCCCGGUGGCGCCUUGAAAUCUGCAGCUGGGGGGACGUUGGCCUUAACUGGUCGGCGACCGCACGCCGGCUGCUCGGUUACUGUGAGAAAAUUAGAGUGUUCAAGGCAGGCAUUGGGUGCAAUUGAAUACAUUAGCAUGGAAUAAUAAAAUAUGGCUCCUGCCGUAUUUUGUUGGUUUUGACCGGUGGGAGUAAUGAUUGAUAGGGACGGUUGGGGGUGCUAGUAUUGAGCGGCCAGAGGUGAAAUUCAUGGAUUCGCUCAAGACUAACUUAUGCGAAAGCAUUCACCAAGGACGUCCUCUUUAAUCAAGAACGAAAGUUGGGGGAUCGAAGACGAUCAGAUACCGUCGUAGUCUCAACCAUAAACUAUGUCGACUUGGGAUCGGCGGUAGUUUUUUCAUUAAGACACUGUCGGGACCACGGGAGAAAUCAAAGUGUCUGGACUCUGGGGGAAGUAUGGUCGCAAGGCUGAAACUUGAAGGAAUUGACGGAAGGGCACCACCAGGAGUGGAGCCUGCGGCUUAAUUUGACCCAACACGGGGAAACUUACCAGGUCCAGAGAUGUAGAGGAUUGACAGAUUGAAGCUCUUUCUUGAUCACUUCGGUGGUGGUGCAUGGCCGUUCUUAGUUGGUGGAGUGAUUUGUCUGGUUAAUUCCGUUAACGAACGAGACCUCAGCCUGCUAGUGUAGUCGGCUGGAUUGCCUUUGGCGAUCCGUGAUUUCGACUUCUUAGAGGGACAAUCGACGCGCAGUCGAUGGAAGUUUGAGGCAAUAACAGGUCUGUGAUGCCCUCAGAUGUUCUGGGCCGCACGCGCGCUACACUGCUGGGCUCAGCGAGUUUUACUUGGCCGAGAGGCCCGGUUAAUCUUGUGAAAUCCCAGCGUGCUUGGGCUCGCCUCCUGCAGCUGGAGGCGCCAACGAGGAAUUCCUAGUAGACGCAGGUCAUCAACCUGCAUCGAUUACGUCCCUGCCCUUUGUACACACCGCCCGUCGUUCCAUAAGAGUGAGGCAUCCGGUGAAUUCUCGGGAGAGCCUGGGCGUGGCCAGCAAUGGUCUGCUCGGGUUUGAACUUGCAUAAACUUGGUGCCUAUGAUUAGGG
rnacentral:rRNA from 1 species